rnacentral:rRNA from 1 species
UACAGAGGGUGCAAGCGUUGUUCGGAAUCAUUGGGCGUAAAGAGCGCGUAGGCGGUCCGGUAAGUCCGCUCUGAAAGUCCGGGGCUCAACCCCGGGAGGCGGGCGGAUACUGUCGGGCUAGAGUCCGGAAGAGGCGAGUGGAAUUCCUGGUGUAGCGGUGAAAUGCGCAGAUAUCAGGAGGAACACCAAUGGCGAAGGCAGCUCGCUGGGACGGUACUGACGCUGAGGCGCGAAAGCGUGGGGAGCAAACAGG